rnacentral:rRNA from 1 species
CCUACGGGUGGCAGCAGUGGGGAAUAUUGGUCAAUGGAGGAAACUCUGACCCAGCAAUGCCGCGUGAAUGAAGAAGGUCUUCGGAUUGUAAAGUUCUUUAGUCAGGGAAGAAUAAAAUGACGGUACCUGAAUAAUAAGCUCCGACUAACUACGUGCCAGCAGCCGCGGUAAAACGGAGGGAGCAAGCGUUGUUCGGGAUGACUGGGGGUAAGGGGUGAGUAGGCGGUUAUAUAAGUUAGAAGGGAAAUUCCCAGGGCUUAACCAGGGUGCUGCUUCUAAAACUGUAAGACUUGAGUGCGGUAGAGGUAAGUGGAAUUCCUGGUGUAGCGGUGGAAUGCGUAGAUAUUAGGAGGAACACCAGAGGCGAAGGCGGCUAACUGGACUGUAACUGACGCUGAGGCACGAAAGUGUGGGGAGCAAACAGGAUGAGAUACCCCUGUAGUC